GAGUUUGAUCGUGGCUCAGAACGAACGCUGGCGGCAGGCUUAACACAUGCAAGUCGAACGCCCCGCAAGGGGAGUGGCGCAAGGGUGAGAAACGCGUGGGAAUUUGCCUUUUGGUUCGGAAUAACCACAGGAAACUGUGGCUAAUACCGGAUGGUCCCUUCGGGGUAAAGAUUUAUCGCCAAAAGAUGAGCCCGCGUCAGAUUAGCUAGUUGGUGGGGUAACGGCCUACCAAGGCAACGAUCUGUAGCUGGUCUUAGAGGACGAUCAGCCACACUGGAACUGAGACACGGUCCAGACUCCUACGGGAGGCAGCAGUGGGGAAUAUUGGACAAUGGGCGCAAGCCUGAUCCAGCCAUGCCGCGUGAGUGAUGAAGGCCCUAGGGUUGUAAAGCUCUUUUAACGGGGAAGAUAAUGACGGUACCCGUAGAAUAAGCCCCGGCUAACUUCGUGCCAGCCGCCGCGGU
rnacentral:rRNA from 1 species